rnacentral:rRNA from 1 species
GGUACACGAGUGGCGAACGGGUGAGUAACACGUGGGUGAUCUGCCCUGCACUUUGGGAUAAGCCUGGGAAACUGGGUCUAAUACCGAAUAGGACUCCGGACUGCAUGGUCUGGGGUGGAAAGCUUUUGCGGUGUGGGAUGGGCCCGCGGCCUAUCAGCUUGUUGGUGGGGUGAUGGCCUACCAAGGCGACGACGGGUAGCCGGCCUGAGAGGGUGUCCGGCCACACUGGGACUGAGAUACGGCCCAGACUCCUACGGGAGGCAGCAGUGGGGAAUAUUGCACAAUGGGCGCAAGCCUGAUGCAGCGACGCCGCGUGAGGGAUGACGGCCUUCGGGUUGUAAACCUCUUUCAGCGCCGACGAAGGGUAACUGACGGUAGGCGCAGAAGAAGCACCGGCCAACUACGUGCCAGCAGCCGCGGUAAUACGUAGGGUGCGAGCGUUGUCCGGAAUUACUGGGCGUAAAGAGCUCGUAGGUGGUUUGUCGCGUUGUUCGUGAAAACUCACAGCUUAACUGUGGGCGUGCGGGCGAUACGGGCAGACUGGAGUACUGCAGGGGAGACUGGAAUUCCUGGUGUAGCGGUGGAAUGCGCAGAUAUCAGGAGGAACACCGGUGGCGAAGGCGGGUCUCUGGGCAGUAACUGACGCUGAGGAGCGAAAGCGUGGGGAGCGAACAGGAUUAGAUACCCUGGUAGUCCACGCCGUAAACGGUGGGUACUAGGUGUGGGUUUCCUUCCUUGGGAUCCGUGCCGUAGCUAACGCAUUAAGUACCCCGCCUGGGGAGUACGGCCGCAAGGCUAAAACUCAAAGGAAUUGACGGGGGCCCGCACAAGCGGCGGAGCAUGUGGAUUAAUUCGAUGCAACGCGAAGAACCUUACCUGGGUUUGACAUGCAC